AAUAUGUACAAUAUGAUCAUUGAUGGAUAAAGCUACACCAAAGUUGUGAAGGCAUACAUGUGACCGGCAUGGAGUAAAGGCAUAUGGAUCUUUUGAGGGCUAUUUGGAUAAAGGAACUUUCUUUCCCAACUAUUUUUCGUCUUCAUUUUCCCAAGUCCAUGUUUAGGUAAUGGGGGGCAAGAGGCUUUCAAGUUGGUCAAAAAUAAACACGGUGUGGAAUUAAAUGAGAAUUUGUACUUGUUGUAUGAACAAAAGAGUAACUUCAAUUAAAAACCCUUAUUUUUGUAUAUGAUCGGUCGACAUU
rnacentral:lncRNA from 1 species